CCUGGCUCAGGAUGAACGCUAGCGGCAGGCUUAACACAUGCAAGUCGUGGGGCAGCGCGAGGUAGCAAUACUUUGGCGGCGACCGGCAAACGGGUGCGGAACACGUACGCAACCUUCCUCAGAGCGGGGAAUAGCCUCUCGAAAGAGAGAUUAAUACCCCAUAGUAUCUUGGAUUCACAUGGAUCUGAGAUUAAAGCUCCGGCACUUUGAGAUGGGCGUGCGGCUGAUUAGGUAGUUGGUAGGGUAACGGCCUACCAAGCCAACGAUCAGUAGCUGAUGUGAGAGCAUGAUCAGCCACACGGGCACUGAGACACGGGCCCGACUCCUACGGGAGGCAGCAGUGAGGAAUAUUGGUCAAUGGAGGCAACUCUGAACCAGCCAUGCCGCGUGAAGGAUGAAGGUCCUCUGGAUUGUAAACUUCUUUUAUAGAAGAAGAAACCCCAUUUUUCUAAGUGGGUUGACGGUACUCUAUGAAUAAGCACCGGCUAACUCCGUG
rnacentral:rRNA from 1 species